AGAUUGAACGCUGGCGGCGUGCUUAACACAUGCAAGUCGAGCGGUAACAGGUGUAGCAAUACAUGCUGACGAGCGGCGAACGGGUGAGUAAUGCUUCGGAAUCUACCUUGUAGUGGGGAAUAACCGUGGGGAAACUCAAGGCUAAUACCGCAUACGUCUUUCGAGAGAAAGCGGGGGAUCGCAAGACCUCGCGCUAUUAGAUGAGCCGAAGUCGGAUUAGCUAGUUGGUAGGGUGACGGCCUACCAAGGCGACAAUCCGUAGCCGGUCUGAGAGGACGACCAGCCACACUGGGACUGAGACACGGCCCAGACUCCUACGGGAGGCAGCAGUGGGAAUAUGGACAAGUAGGGGAACCUGAUCCAGCGACGCGCGUGUGUGAAGAGGCUGGACGGGUUGUAAAGCUACGUUUUAGG
rnacentral:rRNA from 1 species